rnacentral:rRNA from 1 species
CAUGCAAGUCGAACGGAAAGGCCCUUCGGGGUGCUCGAGUGGCGAACGGGUGAGUAACACGUGGGUGAUCUGCCCUGCACUUUGGGAUAAGCCUGGGAAACUGGGUCUAAUACCGGAUAUGACCAUGCCAUGCAUGUGGUGUGGUGGAAAGCUUUUGCGGUGUGGGAUGGGCCCGCGGCCUAUCAGCUUGUUGGUGGGGUGAUGGCCUACCAAGGCGACGACGGGUAGCCGGCCUGAGAGGGUGUCCGGCCACACUGGGACUGAGAUACGGCCCAGACUCCUACGGGAGGCAGCAGUGGGGAAUAUUGCACAAUGGGCGCAAGCCUGAUGCAGCGACGCCGCGUGAGGGAUGACGGCCUUCGGGUUGUAAACCUCUUUCAAUGGGGACGAAGCGCAAGUGACGGUACCUAUAGAAGAAGCACCGGCCAACUACGUGCCAGCAGCCGCGGUAAUACGUAGGGUGCGAGCGUUGUCCGGAAUUACUGGGCGUAAAGAGCUCGUAGGUGGUUUGUCGCGUUGUUCGUGAAAACUCACA